ACGGACUUCGGUCUGGUGGCGAGUGGCGAACGGGUGAGUAAUGUAUCGGAACGUACCUUUCAGUGGGGGAUAACGUAGCGAAAGUUACGCUAAUACCGCAUAUUCUGUGAGCAGGAAAGCAGGGGAUCGCAAGACCUUGCGCUGAUUGAGCGGCCGAUAUCAGAUUAGCUAGUUGGUGAGGUAAAGGCUCACCAAGGCGACGAUCUGUAGCGGGUCUGAGAGGAUGAUCCGCCACACUGGAACUGAGACACGGUCCAGACUCCUACGGGAGGCAGCAGUGGGGAAUUUUGGACAAUGGGGGCAACCCUGAUCCAGCCAUGCCGCGUGAGUGAAGAAGGCCUUCGGGUUGUAAAGCUCUUUCGGCCGGGAAGAAAUCGCAUGGGCUAAUACCCUGUGCGGAUGACGGUACCGGCAUAAGAAGCACCGGCUAACUACGUGCCAGCAGCCGCGGUAAUACGUAGGGUGCGAGCGUUAAUCGGAAUUACUGGGCGUAAAGCGUGCGCAGGCGGUUUUUUAAGACAGGCGUGAAAUCCCCGGGCUCAACCUGGGAACUGCGCUUGUGACUGGAAGGCUAGAGUAUGGCAGAGGGGGGUGGAAUUCCACGUGUAGCAGUGAAAAGCGUAGAGAUGUGGAGGAACACCAAUGGCGAAGGCAGCCCCCUGGGCCAAUACUGACGCUCAUGCACGAAAGCGUGGGUAGCAAACAGGAUUAGAUACCCUGGUAGUCCACGCCCUAAACGAUGUCAACUAGGUGUUGGGUGGGUAAAACCAUUUAGUACCGGAG
rnacentral:rRNA from 1 species